rnacentral:rRNA from 1 species
GAUGAACGCUGGCGGCGUGCCUAAUACAUGCAAGUCGAGCGAACAGACGAGGAGCUUUCUCCUCUGACGUUAGCGGCGGACGGGUGAGUAACACGUGGAUAACCCACCUAUAAGACUCGGAUAACUUCGGGAAACCGGAGCUAAUAUCGGAGAAUAUAUUGAACCGCAUGGUUCAAUAGAGAAAGACGGUUUUGUUGUCUCUUAUAGAUGGAUCCGCGCCGCAUUAGCUAGUUGGUAAGGUAACGGCUUACCAAGGCAACGAUGCGUAGCCGACCUGAGAGGGUGAUCGGCCACACUGGAACUGAGACACGGUCCAGACUCCUACGGGAGGCAGCAGUAGGGAAUCUUCCGCAAUGGGCGAAAGCCUGACGGAGCAACGCCGCGUGAGUGAUGAAGGUUUUCGGAUCGUAAAACUCUGUUGUUAGGGAAGAACAAGUAUGUAAGUAACUAAGCACGUCUUGACGGUACCUAAUCAGAAAGCCACGGCUAACUACGUG